rnacentral:siRNA from 1 species
GAUGUGAUCGAGUGGUGUCAGAAG